rnacentral:misc_RNA from 1 species
AACCUUAUGGACCUGCGGGCGUAUACCUGCGGAGGGAUCAUUAAUGGGUAGGCUUUGGCCAUAAUCCCUCACCAUUGUGAACGAAGCUUUAGUAGCAGUUGCUUCGGCGGGUGAUAAUACCAUGCCCCUUUCGGGGUACCCGCCGGAGGCAAGUAAAUUCUCGUUAUUUAUCGUUAUCUCUGAGUAAACUUUAAAUAAGUCAAAACUUUCAGCAACGGAUCUCAGAUCGGAAGAGCACAC